ACAUGAGGCUCAAAAUGGGCCCUUUUGUUAGUGAUAAUGAGAGAGAACUUGGCUAUAUCGGUAAAAUCCUGAGCUUGUCGAAGGACAAUACCGAGGGAACCUAGAAAUAGGACACCGUAGAGACUAAACGCCGAGCUCCCCUAGGGGAUGAAGAUAUAGUCCGACACUNNN
rnacentral:ncRNA from 1 species